GUAGGAUGGCUGAAAUUAAGCGGUGGUUUGUAAUUCCACAUAUGGGGCGGUAGCUCCUCUUAUCA
rnacentral:tRNA from 1 species